CGCGUAGGCGGCGCAACAAGUCACUUGUGAAAUCUCCGGGCUUAACUCGGAGCGGCCAAGUGAUACUGUCGUGCUAGAGUGCGGAAGGGGCUACUGGAAUUCUCGGUGUAGCGGUGAAAUGCGUAGAUAUCGAGAGGAACACCUGCGGCGAAGGCGGGUAGCUGGGCCGACACUGACGCUGAUGCGCGAAAGCCAGGGGAGCGAACG
rnacentral:rRNA from 1 species